rnacentral:rRNA from 1 species
AAAGCAAGAUAGACCCUGAACAAUCCCGAUGCCAUCUGAUCUCAGAAGCUAAGCAAGAUCGGGCCUGGUUAGUACUUGGAUGGGAGACCACCUAGAAAGACUGGGUGCUGUA